GCCUUCGUGGUGUAAUGGUUAACACACUCGGCGCGUAUUCCAGAAGUUCGAGGUUCGACUCCUUGCGAAGGCA
rnacentral:tRNA from 1 species